rnacentral:rRNA from 1 species
UUGCGAAAUGAUGGCGACCGGCGCACGCCGUGCGUAACGCGUAUGCAACCUGCCUUGUACAGGAGAAUAGCCCGAAGAAAUUCGGAUUAAUGCUCCAUAAUGAUGUUGAUUGGCAUCGAUUAACAUUUAAGGCUUCGGCGGUACAAGAUGGGCAUGCGUCCUAUUAGCUAGUUGGUGUGGUAACGGCAUACCAAGGCGACGAUAGGUAGGGGGCCUGAGAGGGUUAUCCCCCACACUGGUACUGAGACACGGACCAGACUCCUACGGGAGGCAGCAGUGAGGAAUAUUGGUCAAUGGAGGCAACUCUGAACCAGCCAUGCCGCGUGCAGGAUUGACGGCCCUAUGGGUUGUAAACUGCUUUUAUAUAGGAAGAAUCCCUUUUACGUGUAAGAGGUUGUCGGUACUAUACGAAUAAGGACCGGCUAACUCCGUGCCAGCAGCCGCGGUAAUACGGAGGGUCCAAGCGUUAUCCGGAAUCAUUGGGUUUAAAGGGUGCGUAGGCGGACAUAUAAGUCAGUGGUGAAAUCCCGAGGCUCAACUUCGGAACUGCCAUUGAUACUGUAUUGUCUUGAGUUUAGUUGAAGUAGGCGGAUGUGUAGUGUAGCGGUGAAAUGCAUAGAUAUUACACAGAACACCGAUAGCGAAGGCAGCUUACUAAGCUACAACUGACGCUGAGGCACGAAAGCGUGGGGAGCGAACAGGAUUAGAUACCCUGGUAGUCCACGCAGUAAACGAUGGUCACUCGAUAUCGGCGAUAUACAGUCGGUGUUCAAGCGAAAGUGAUAAGUGACCCACCUGGGGAGUACGAUCGCAAGGUUGAAACUCAAAGGAAUUGACGGGGGCCCGCACAA